UACGGAGGGUGCGAGCGUUGUCCGGAAUCACUGGGCGUAAAGGGCGCGUAGGCGGCCUGAUAAGUAGGGGGGUGAAAUCCUGCGGCUUAACCGCAGGGCUGCCUUCUAAACUGUCAGGCUCGAGCACAGUAGAGGCAGGUGGAAUUCCCGGUGUAGCGGUGGAAUGCGUAGAGAUCGGGAAGAACAUCAGUGGCGAAGGCGGCCUGCUGGGCUGUUGCUGACGCUGAGACGCGAAAGCGUGGGGAGCGAACAGG
rnacentral:rRNA from 1 species